CACGUAGGGCGCAAGCGUUGUCCGGAAUUAUUGGGCGUAAAGAGCUCGUAGGCGGUCUGUUACGUCUGCUGUGAAAACCCGGGGCUUAACCCUGGGCUUGCAGUGGAUACGGGCAGACUAGAGGCAGGUAGGGGAGAAUGGAAUUCCCGGUGUAGCGGUGAAAUGCGCAGACAUCGGGAGGAACACCUAUGGCGAAGGCAGCUCGCUGGGACGGUACUGACGCUGAGACGCGAAAGCGUGGGGAGCAAACAGG
rnacentral:rRNA from 1 species